rnacentral:rRNA from 1 species
GGGAGGGAAAACCGCUUCGGCGGGGAAUUAGUGGCGAAAGGGUGAGGAAAACGUGGGCAAUCUGCCCCGCACUCCGGGACAAACCCCGGAAACGGGGUCUAAUACCCGGAUAUAAACCCCCACCGCAUGGUGGGGGCUGUAAAACUCCGGCGGGGCAGGAUGGCCCCGCGGCCUUUCAUUGUUGGGGAGGUAACGGCUCACCAAGGCGAACACGGGUAGCCCGCCCUAAAAGGGCGACCGGCCACACUGGGACUGAGACACCGCCCCAGACUCCUACAGGAGGCAGCAAUGGGGAAUAUUGCACAAUGGGCGCAAGCCUGAUGCAGCGACCCCCCCUGAAGGAUGACCGCCUUCCGGUUGUAAACCUCUUUCAACCAGGGAAGAAGCGCAAGUGACCGUACCUGCAAAAAAAGCGCCGACUAACUACCUGCCAACAACCGCCGUAAUACCUAAGGCGCGAGCGUUGUCCGGAAUUAUUGAGCGUAAAGAACUCGUAAGCGGCCUGUCGCGUCCGUUGUGAAAGCCCGGGGCUUAACCCCCGGUCUGCAAUCCAUACCGGCAAGCUAGAAUUCCGUAGGGGAGAUCGGAAUUCCUGGUGUAGCGGUGAAAUGCCCAGAUAUCAGGAGGAACACCCGUGGCCAAAGCCGAUCUCUGGGCCCAUACUGACGCUGAAGAACGAAAGCGUGAGGAGCGAACAGGAUUAGAUACCCUGGUAGUCCACGCCGUAAACCGUGGGCACUAAGUGUGGGGCCACAUUUCCACAGUUCGUCCGUGGCCGCAGCUAACGCAUUUAAGUGCCCCCCCCCUGGGGGAGUACCGGCCCCCAAGGCUAAAAACUCCAAAGGAAUUUGACGGGGGGCCCCGCACAAACCGGCGGAAUCAUGUGGGCUUUAAUUUCCAACCCAACCCGAAAAAACCUUUACCAAAGGCUUUGACAUUACACCCGGAAAACAUUCCCAGAAAUGGGGUGCCCCCCUUUGGGGUCCGGUGAACAGGGUGGUGGCAUGGCCUGUUCCUCAGCCUCCGUGUUCCUGGAAAAUGUUUGGGGUUAAAUUCCCCCAACCAAAGCGCAACCCUUGUUUCCCGNNNUGUUGCCCAACAGGGCCCUUGUGGGUUGNCNUGGGAAACUCACCGGGGAAAACNCCCNCGGGGUCAACUCCGAAAAAAAGGUGGGGAACAAACGUCCAAGUCCAUCAUGGGCCCCUUUAGUGUCUUGGGGGCUGCACACCGUGCUACAAAUGGCCGGGUUACAAUGGAGAGCCCCAAUACCCCCGAAGGGUGGGAACCCCAAUCUCCCAAAAAAGCCGGUCUCCAGUUUCCAUGAUUGGGGGGGUCUCCCAACCCAAAACCCAUGAAAAUUUCCGGAAAGUCGCUUAAAAAUUACCCAAAAAAAACCCAGUGCCUGCGGUGAAUACGUUCCCGGGCCUUGUACACACCGCCCGUCACGUCACGAAAGUCGGUAACACCCGAAGCCGGUGGCCCAACCCCUGCGGGAGGGAGCUUC